rnacentral:rRNA from 1 species
AACGGUAACAGGUUAAGCUGACGAGUGGCGAACGGGUGAGUAAUGCAUCGGAACGUGCCCGAUCGUGGGGGAUAACGCAGCGAAAGCUGCGCUAAUACCGCAUACGAUCUGAGGAUGAAAGCGGGGGACCGUAAGGCCUCGCGCGAUCGGAGCGGCCGAUGUCAGAUUAGGUAGUUGGUGGGGUAAAGGCUCACCAAGCCAACGAUCUGUAGCUGGUCUGAGAGGACGACCAGCCACACUGGGACUGAGACACGGCCCAGACUCCUACGGGAGGCAGCAGUGGGGAAUUUUGGACAAUGGGCGAAAGCCUGAUCCAGCAAUGCCGCGUGCAGGAAGAAGGCCUUCGGGUUGUAAACUGCUUUUGUACGGAGCGAAAAGGCUCUCUCUAAUACAGGGGGCUCAUGACGGUACCGUAAGAAUAAGCACCGGCUAACUACGUGCCAGCAGCCGCGGUAAUACGUAGGGUGCAAGCGUUAAUCGGAAUUACUGGGCGUAAAGCGUGCGCAGGCGGUUUUGUAAGACAGGCGUGAAAUCCCCGGGCUCAACCUGGGAAUGGCGCUUGUGACUGCAAAGCUGGAGUGCGGCAGAGGGGGAUGGAAUUCCGCGUGUAGCAGUGAAAUGCGUAGAUAUGCGGAGGAACACCGAUGGCGAAGGCAAUCCCCUGGGCCUGCACUGACGCUCAUGCACGAAAGCGUGGGGA